AGUAGCGAAAGACGGGUGAGAAUCCCGUCCACCGAUUGACUAAGGUUUCCAGAGGAAGGCUCGUCCGCUCUGGGUUAGUCGGGUCCUAAGCUGAGGCCGACAGGCGUAGGCGAUGGAUAACAGGUUGAUAUUCCUGUACCACCUAGUAUCGUUUUAAUCGAUGGGGGGACGCAGUAGGAUAGGCGAAGCGUGCUAUUGGAUUGCACGUCCAAGCAGUAAGACUGAGUGUUAGGCAAAUCCGGCACUCAUAAGGUCAAGCUGUGAUGGGGAGAGGAAAUUGUUUCCUCGAGUCGUUGAUUUCACACUGCCAAGAAAAGCCUCUAGAUAGAUAACAGGUGCCCGUACCGCAAACCGACACAGGUAGUCAAGAUGAGAAUUCUAAGGUGAGCGAGCGAACUCUCGUUAAGGAACUCGGCAAAAUGACCCCGUAACUUCGGGAGAAGGGGUGCUCUUUAGGGUUAACGCCCAGAAGAGCCGCAGUGAAUAGGCCCAAGCGACUGUUUAUCAAAAACACAGGUCUCUGCUAAACCGUAAGGUGAUGUAUAGGGGCUGACGCCUGCCCGGUGCUGGAAGGUUAAGAGGAGUAGUUAGCUUCUGCGAAGCUACGAAUCGAAGCCCCAGUAAACGGCGGCCGUAACUAUAACGGUCCUAAGGUAGCGAAAUUCCUUGUCGGGUAAGUUCCGACCCGCACGAAAGGCGUAACGAUUUGGGCACUGUCUCAACGAGAGACUCGGUGAAAUCAUAGUACCUGUGAAGAUGCAGGUUACCCGCGACAGGACGGAAAGACCCCGUGGAGCUUUACUGUAGCCUGAUAUUGAAAUUCGGCACAGCUUGUACAGGAUAGGUAGGAGCCUUUGAAACGUGAGCGCUAGCUUACGUGGAGGCAUUGGUGGGAUACUACCCUAGCUGUGUUGGCUUUCUAACCCGCACCACUUAUCGUGG
rnacentral:rRNA from 1 species